rnacentral:rRNA from 1 species
ACUCCAGACUCCUACGGGAGGCAGCAGUCGGGAAUAUUGCGCAAUGGAGGCAACUCUGACGCAGUGACGCCGCGUAUAGGAAGAAGGUUUUCGGAUUGUAAACUAUUGUCCCCAGGGAAGAAAAAAGACUGUACCUGAGAAGAAAGCUCCGGCUAACUACGUGCCAGCAGCCGCGGUAAUACGUAGGGGGCAAGCGUUAUCCGGAUUUACUGGGUGUAAAGGGAGCGUAGACGGUGAUGCAAGUCAGAAGUGAAAGCCCGGGGCUCAACUCCGGGACUGCUUUUGAAACUGUGUAACUGGAGUGCAGGAGAGGUAAGCGGAAUUCCUGGUGUAGCGGUGAAAUGCGUAGAUAUCAGGAGGAACACCAGUGGCGAAGGCGGCUUACUGGACUGUAACUGACGUUGAGGCUCGAAAGCGUGGGGAGCAAACAGGAUUAGAUACCCGAGUAUC